UAGAAAAGGUUCUUGCUGGAGCCUUAAGGCGAGAUAUGGCUUUGAAAGGUUCUUACAAGUGUAUGUUCUUGGGUCAAUCCGACCAAAAUUUGCUAAACUCAAUUGGGACAUACACUUUGGUGGUAAGUAUACUGUGAGGAUUUUAGUGAUCGCAGUGGAUGCGGAUGCCCUUGCUUAAAUCUUUAAUUCUUGAUAACUGUGAGACGAUGAGGCCGACAUGCUUAAGCACUAUUUAGCCAACAAAGCUUCUCAUGUUCUUCAUCAAAAGGCAAUAGAAAAGGUUCUUGCUGGAGCCUUAAGGCGAGAUAUGGCUUUGAAAGGUUCUUACAAGUGUAUGUUCUUGGGUCAAUCCGACCAAAAUUUGCUAAACUCAAUUGGGACAUAUACUUUGGUGGUAAGUAUACUGUGAGGAUUUUAGUGAUCGCAGUGGAUGCGGAUACCCUUGCUUAAAUCUUUAAUUCUUGAUAACUGUGAGACGAUGAGGCCGACAUGCUUAAGCACUAUUUAGCCAACAAAGCUUCUCAUGUUCUUCAUCAAAAGGCAGUAGAAAAGGUUCUUGCUGGAGCCUUAAGGCGAGAUAUGGCUUUGAAAGGUUCUUACAAGUGUAUGUUCUUGGGUCAAUCCGACCAAAAUUUGCUAAACUCAAUUGGGACAUACACUUUGGUGGUAAGUAUACUGUGAGGAUUUUAGUGAUCGCAGUGGAUGCGGAUGCCCUUGCUUAAAUCUUUAAUUCUUGAUAACUGUGAGACGAUGAGAUCGACAUGCUUAAGCACUAUUUAGCCAACAAAGCUUCUCAUGUUCUUCAUCAAAAGGCAGUAGAAAAGGUUCUUGCUGGAGCCUUAAGGCGAGAUAUGGCUUUGAAAGGUUCUUACAAGUGUAUGUUCUUGGGUCAAUCCGACCAAAAUUUGCUAAACUCAAUUGGGACAUACACUUUGGUGGUAAGUAUACUGUGAGGAUUUUAGUGAUCGCAGUGGAUGCGGAUACCCUUGCUUAAAUCUUUAAUUCUUGAUAACUGUGAGACGAUGAGGCCGACAUGCUUAAGCACUAUUUAGCCAACAAAGCUUCUCAUGUUCUUCAUCAAAAGGUGAAAAGCAAUGGGAAUUGAAUUCAACCUUCUCAUCGAUUAAGGCUAGGGAUUUGAUUCCAUGUUUUUAGGGCUUCAUCGAAGUAUAUUCAAGAGAUGUUAAGAGGAAGUAUAUGAACUUCAAGAAGUUUGAUAUUGUUGAGGACUAUUCAAUUUAGUGCUAUAUAAAAUCAAAAUCAUUAUGGUGACAGGCAAGUAGGGAUAAGCUUGGUAUUGACCGGUACCGGUAUCAAAUAUUCCGGUACCGAAAAUCUCCAAAAGUGGGUACCGGUACCGAAUAUACCCGAUACGGUUCAAUACUGGUAUUUGAGAGAAAAAACCGGUACCGAAAAUGUCAAAAGUCGGUACUAAAUUGGUACCGAAAAUGUACUCGGUUCGGUAAAUUCGGUACCGAUAUCGGGUACCAUUUGCUCAUCCCUACGUUCAAGUGUAUUUUCAACUUUAUUUAUUUUAUUUGUUUAUUUUAUGAAAUUUUCAAUUUCCAAUGAUUCUUUUUUUAACAAUUUGCAGCCACCAAUAAAUGGGCUAAAAAGUUUAUGAAGAAUGGAGGAUUCCUGAGAGGAAUUUGGCUGAUAUGAUAUAUGUUAGGGUUUAAGAAGGAAGAAAGGAUCUUUUAAGAGUUGUGAUAAUAGGAGUAGAAGUGACUCCACAUCACAGGAGUAGAGGUGACUCCACAUCACGAUGGUUUUUUUUUCUUUGAUAUAUGUAUGUCUUCACAUAUCUCUUCUUUUUUCAGUUUUCAUCAAGUGGUUUAAUAUUAUUAAUAGGGUUGAUAAACUUUAAAACCAUUGUAUACUUUCAUAUCUUUGUGGU